rnacentral:rRNA from 1 species
CGUAAUAACAGAAACUAACCAGGAUUCCCUUAGUAACGGCGAGUGAACUGGGAUACCACACGCAUGUCGUUGGCUCUUCGCCAGCUGACAUAUUAGCCCGUCGAUACUAUCCUAGCAUAACAUAUCUUGGCCUCGGCCUUGGUAUACCAAUUAUGCGGGAAUUGUAGCAUCGUACACACAUACUUACACUUCGUGCCGUACAAAUUUUAUACUUGAACACACAGCGCUUACGCGUUGGAAAGCAAGUUAUAUAUAUGCUUCGGUAUAUAUGCCAUAGAGUGUGAAAGCCACGUUUUCAACUCAUACCUGUACGCGUCACACACACACACACACACCCAAAAGUGUAUUUUAUAUAACCUGAGUCGAGUUAUUU